rnacentral:rRNA from 1 species
GACUGCAUAACGCGAAGAACCUUACCAGGUCUUGACAUCCCUCUGACCGGUCCGUAACGGGACCUUUCCUUCGGGACAGAGGAGACAGGUGGUGCAUGGUUGUCGUCAGCUCGUGUCGUGAGAUGUUGGGUUAAGUCCCGCAACGAGCGCAACCCCUAUCCUUAGUAGCCAGCAGUUCGGCUGGGCACUCUAGGGAGACUGCCAGGGAUAACCUGGAGGAAGCGGGGAUGACGUCAAAUCAUCAUGCUCCUUAUGAUCUGGGCUACACACGUGCUACAAUGGUGACUACAAAGGGAAGCAGCCUCGUGAGAGUGAGCAAAUCCCAAAAAGGUCAUCCCAGUUCGGAUUGUAGUCUGCAACUCGACUACAUGAAGCUGGAAUCGCUAGUAAUCGCGAAUCAGAAUGUCGCGGUGAAUACGUUCCCGGGUCUUGUACACACCG